CACGUAGGGGACGAGCGUUGUCCGGAUUCAUUGGGCGUAAAGCGCGCGUAGGCGGCUCGGAAAGUCGGUCGUGAAAUGCCGGGGCUCAACCCCGGGACUGCGUCCGAUACUCCCGAGCUGGAGGCAGGUAGGGGAGAUCGGAAUUCCUGGUGUAGCGGUGAAAUGCGCAGAUAUCAGGAGGAACACCGGUGGCGAAGGCGGAUCUCUGGGCCUUGCCUGACGCUGAGGCGCGAAAGCGUGGGGAGCAAACCGG
rnacentral:rRNA from 1 species